GUGGGGAAUUUUGGACAAUGGGCGAAAGCCUGAUCCAGCCAUGCCGCGUGCAGGAUGAAGGCCUUCGGGUUGUAAACUGCUUUUGUACGGAACGAAAAGACUCCUUCUAAUAAAGGGGGUCCAUGACGGUACCGUAAGAAUAAGCACCGGCUAACUACGUGCCAGCAGCCGCGGUAAUACGUAGGGUGCAAGCGUUAAUCGGAAUUACUGGGCGUAAAGCGUGCGCAGGCGGUUAUAUAAGACAGAUGUGAAAUCCCCGGGCUCAACCUGGGAACUUCAUUUGUGACUGUAUAGCUAGAGUACGGCAGAGGGGGAUGGAAUUCCGCGUGUAGCAGUGAAAUGCGUAGAUAUGCGGAGGAACACCGAUGGCGAAGGCAAUCCCCUGGGCCUGUACUGACGCUCAUGCACGAAAGCGUGGGGAGCAAACAGGAUUAGAUACCCCUGUAGUCC
rnacentral:rRNA from 1 species